UCCACGUUCAGUCUUGGGUUCUUCGUCUUCUUCCUCGGUUCCUCCUCCCUCCCUCGUCUCAACUCUCAAUCCUUCUAUGGAUACCUCAGAGCCUCCCAUAUACCAUUCUUGAUUCAUCCUCAUCAUCAUAGGAUUGGUUUAUCUUGAAGGUUUUCAUACUGAAGAAGUUGAAAAGCAAUGAAGAAAAGCUAAAGGAUUUGGAAAUCUCAACAGUCGAUGGCUUCCAGGGCCGGGAAAAGGAAGCCAUCAUUAUUUCAAUGGUUCGAUCAAACUCAAAGAAAGAGGUUGGGUUUCUGAGCGAUCACAGGCGAAUGAACAUGGCUGUAACACGAGCAACAAGGCAAUGAAUGAGCAACAGUACCUCGGCAUCUACAAAUUUGCUGUUUUUGGUGGCAUAGCUCUGAGACCUCCCACUGCUUCUGCAGCGGAGGAAAAUUUGUAUUCUAAUUAGAACAGAUUCUAUUCUUAAAUCAUAUUUGUACCUAGUUUACUUUAUCUUUUAUUUUCUGUUCUCUAAUUUUGAUAUGCUAUACGUUUAGGGGCCACGUAGAUAAUAAAAUUGCCUUGUC